CGAGCCUGGUGAUAGCUGGUUGUCCAGAAAAUGAAUCUAAGUUCAGCUUUAAAGAUACCAAAAAUUCAAAUAAACCCCACUGUAGCUUUAAAAGUUAGUCUAAAAAGGUACAGCCUUUUAGAAACGGAUACAACCUUGACUAGAGAGUAAAAUUUAACACUACCAUAGUAGGCCUAAAAGCAGCCAUCAAUUAAGAAAGCGUUAAAGCUCAACAACAAAAAUUAAAUAGAUUCCAACAACAAAUGAUUAACUCCUAGCCCCAAUACUGGACUAAUCUAUUAUAGAAUAGAAGCAAUAAUGUUAAUAUGAGUAACAAGAAAAAUUUUCUCCUUGCAUAAGUCUAAGUCAGUGCCUGAUAAUACUCUGACCACUAACAGUCAAUAAAAAUAAUCCAACAAUAAACAAUUUAUGAGUUAUACUGGUUAACCCAACACAGGAGUGCAUCUAAGGAAA
rnacentral:rRNA from 1 species